rnacentral:lncRNA from 1 species
GAACAUUAUUCACUCAUGCUUCCUCAUAAGAGAUGGUCUGGCAUUAAAAUUAAGAUGUAAAGUAAUAGGAGAGUACAUCAACAGUGAAAAAAAUUUGUGCCAUCAGUGUCUGUUUAUCAAAGGUUCUGACCAAUUUUGAGGAGGCUACUCUUCCAUGAACAGAUGGUUGUAUGUGAACUCAUCCAAGACAUCCAAACAGAUGUCUGUCCUGAGGUCAUCCCACCACAGAUUAGAAGACAUGCAAGUGCUAAUCCAGAUAUGAGCUAGCUAGGCCUUUUUUUUCCCCAAUAAAAUUGGAUCAAUUUAAUAACCUAGUUUUUGAAAGUCAGUUUUCAGGAAGCCACAGCUGUUUGGAAAUUACAGACUGGACUCUCCAUUACAAGAUACCAUUCCUUCUAAUGUUAACAUUUUUAAAAGGAGAAUUAAAAAGUUACACACUAUUUUUGUUGCAUUCUGAAAUUCUUUACUUUGUAAAAGUAUGAUUAUAAUUUUCCUCUUUUUCAAAUAUAGAAAACAUAAUUAUUUUAUUAGCAAACAGCAAUUUAGUUAUUAGUAGCUAACCAGA